rnacentral:rRNA from 1 species
CUACGGGGGGCAGCAGUGGGGAAUAUUGCACAAUGGACGAAAGUCUGAUGCAGCAACGCCGCGUGGAGGAUGACACAUUUCGGUGCGUAAACUCCUUUUAUAUAGGAAGAUAAUGACGGUACUAUAUGAAUAAGCACCGGCUAACUCCGUGCCAGCAGCCGCGGUAAUACGGAGGGUGCAAGCGUUACUCGGAAUCACUGGGCGGAAAGAGCGUGUAGGCGGGUAGUUAAGUCAGAAGUGAAAUCCAAUAGCUCAACUAUUGAACUGCUUUUGAAACUGAUUACCUAGAAUAUGGGAGAGGUAGAUGGAAUUUCUGGUGUAGGGGUAAAAUCCGUAGAGAUCAGAAGGAAUACCGAUUGCGAAGGCGAUCUACUGGAACAUUAUUGACGCUGAGACGCGAAAGCGUGGGGGGCAAACAGGAUUAGAUACCCGCGUAGUC